GCCAGUGGUCCCUCCUGUGCUAAGCUUUACUGAAGGAGAACAGCAGUGGCACAAGCCCAGAACUUUGGAGCACACUCUACAAAGGCCUCAGUGGGGAUUUGCCUGAUCUUUCCAUCCUUCGGGUGACAGAGUAAAUCAAUCAAUAAAGUCAAAUAAAGAUUUCUCUACAGCAGAGGCGCCGAUGAUCUGCAGCAUGGGCAUCAGCUGUGAAAUUCCCCUGGUUGACUCUGCCCUUGGCAAGGUUCAAGCCGGAAGUCCAUUGUCCUAUCAACUACCAGCAACAGCAAAGAGAGACCUGUCCUUCCAUGCUGCCCCACCACGUCCAUCUGUGCCUCUUCAGAAUUACCGCCUACAGCCAUCAAGUUGCAUGUUUGUCUGUGCUGAACCACAACAGCUACACCAUAGGAGUCUGGAGGUCACCUGGGACAUGGUGCACAAAUUUGAAUGUGCUACCAGAGCACAAAGUUCAUGUACUGAAUGGCAUCAGCUAAGGAGGCAUAGAUUGACUGCCUCACGUUUCAGGGAGAUCUGCCAGGUUCGAGAGAACUCUGAAGAAAGUUUGGCUAACCGGAUACUGCAAGGGACCCGUCAGACGGCAGCUAUGAAGAGGGGGCUCGAAUUAGAGGCAGAUGCUAUCUGGGAAUAUUGCCAAAUGAAAAGGGUCAACCACUAUCCCUGUGGAUUCGUAAUUCACCCUGACGCUCCUUGGCUGGGGGCGUCUCCAGACGGGUUAAUCUUUGACCCUUCAGAGCCAUGUCAUUUUGGGCUGAUUGAGAUGAAGUGCCCGAAUGUUAAAAGCUAUGUGGACUGCCUGUAUCUCCAAAUGAAUUCAGGCAAAUUGGAGCUAAAACAAACGCAUGCUUACUACUGGCAAGUACAGGGGCAGAUGCUAAUAACGGGAAUGAGUUGGUGUGAUUUUGUAGUCUCAGCUGAGGAAGACGUACACAUUCAAAGAAUUUACAGAGAUAGUGAUGUUUUGGAUGUAAUCAGAGAGAAAGUAGACAGGUUUUAUUUUUAUGUCUACUUGCAGAAAUGUAUAAUGCU